AUUGAACGCUGGCGGCAGGCUUAACACAUGCAAGUCGAGCGGGGGAAGGUAGCUUGCUACCGGACCUAGCGGCGGACGGGUGAGUAAUGCUUAUGAAUCUGCCUAUUAGCGGGGGACAACAUCUCGAAAGGGAUGCUAAUACCGCAUACGACCUACGGGAGAAAGCAGGGGAUCUUCGGCAUGCGCGCUAAUAUAUGAGCCUAAGGCGGAUUAGCUAGUUGGCGGGGUAAAGGCCUACCAAGGCGACGAUCUGUAGCGGGUCUGGGAGGAUGAUCCGCCACACUGGGACUGAGACCCGGCCCAGACUCCUACGGGAGGCAGGAGUGGGGAAUAUUGGACAAUGGGGGGAACCCUGAUCCAGCCAUGCCGCGUGUGUGAAGAAGGCCUUAUGGUUGUAAAGCACUUUAAGCGAGGAGGAGGCUACUCUAGUUAAUACCUAGGGAUAGUGGACGUUACUCGCAGAAUAAGCACCGGCUAACUCUGUGCCAGCAGCCGCCGUAA
rnacentral:rRNA from 1 species